rnacentral:ncRNA from 1 species
UACCUGGUUGAUCCUGCCAGUAGUCAUAUGCUUGUCUCAAAGAUUAAGCCAUGCAAGUCUAAGUACGAGCUCUCGUACAGUGAAACUGCGAAUGGCUCAUUAAAUCAGUUAUGGUUCAUUUGAUCGUACAGUUUACUUGGAUAACUGUGGUAAUUCUAGAGCUAAUACAUGCGAGAAGCGCCGACCUCGCGGGAGGCGUGCAUUUAUCAGACCAAAAACCGGCCGCGUCUUCGGGCGCGUUCGCCUUGGUGACUCUGGAUAACUUUGCGGAUCGCACGGUCUAGCACCGGCGACGGAUCAUUCAAGUGUCUGCCCUAUCAACUUUCGUCGGUACGGUAUUUGCCUACCGGAGUUCUUACGGGUGACGGGGAGUGGGGGGUUCGAUUCCGGAGAGGGAGGCGUGGGAGGGGGGGUGGCGGGGUGGGGGGGGGGGGGGGCAGGGGGGGGGGGGGGUGGGCGUUGCCCUAACGCGGGGUAAGUGGGUUGACUCGAGAGUAGGGGGGGGGGGGGGGGGGGG